rnacentral:rRNA from 1 species
GACGAACGCUGGCGGCGUGCCUAAUACAUGCAAGUAGAACGCUGAAGGAGGAGCUUGCUCUUCUGGAUGAGUUGCGAACGGGUGAGUAACGCGUAGGUAACCUGCCUGGUAGCGGGGGAUAACUAUUGGAAACGAUAGCUAAUACCGCAUAAAAUUGAUUAUUGCAUGAUAGUCAAUUAAAAGGUGCAAUUGCAUCACUACCAGAUGGACCUGCGUUGUAUUAGCUAGUUGGUGAGGUAACGGCUCACCAAGGCAACGAUACAUAGCCGACCUGAGAGGGUGAUCGGCCACACUGGGACUGAGACACGGCCCAGACUCCUACGGGAGGCAGCAGUAGGGAAUCUUCGGCAAUGGACGGAAGUCUGACCGAGCAACGCCGCGUGAGUGAAGAAGGUUUUCGGAUCGUAAAGCUCUGUUGUAAGAGAAGAACGAGUGUGAGAGUGGAAAGUUCACACUGUGACGGUAUCUUACCAGAAAGAGACGGCUAACUACGUG